CCAGCCCAGAGAGGGGCUGGAGCCUCUGGGCCCUUCUGACAGGAAAUUAGCUGGGCCUGGCCUUCCCCACUACCAGCUGCUCUGCUGACCCUGACCCUGUGUUUUCUGAAACUUGAUACUGCAAAUUUCAAAGCCUCUUCUCCAUUCCCUGGAGGCCUGGCUGAGCUGUGUGUCUAGUGGGGCCUCCAGCCUACGUGUGGGCCUGCCUUCCUGUCCUGGAAAGGGCCCUGGCUGAGAGUGGGGCAGGGAAGCCUGAGGCCCAGCCUCUGCCAUGACCCUGAGCAGGGCCUACCCCCAGGCGAUUCAUCUCCCCAUCUCUGAGCUGCCAGACGGAACUCACGUGCAGAGUGGCUGCAACAUGGAGGAUGGGUUGGAGGGACGCAAGAGGGGCAGUGGAGAGACCACUUCAGAGAUCUCAAGUGGAACCAGGCCUCCUGCACAUUCUGCACAUUUGGGGCACAGUUCCCAAGAAGCCCAAUCCAGAACCAGUCCUCUCUGGGCCCUUCAGCAGAGCACUCUGUCCUGCAUCUCAAGUCUCUGAGUUGUCUGCAGAGUGAGAUUAUGGCGAAGCAUUUUAUUCUUUUUACAAACCUGCUUUUUCUCAAUUUUCCACAUUGGAUUUGCCAGCUACCUGCCUUUGCAGGACACCUCAGAAGUUACAGACUUGCCUGUGGAAAUGCAGAGAGCACCUGAGGUAUUUCCCAGACUCUCCAGUAGUAGCCUUGAAUGGCUGACCGACCGCAGUCACCUGCCAGAUCUUCUCAGAACCGGCCAGCCCACCAGCAACAUGCCCAUUAAGUGGCCUGGCCCAGCCCAGAUGGAAAACCCCCUCCACGUGACUUUCUAAAGAACAUGCAUGAAGACAAAACACCAGGUGCCUCAGGUGUGACACCCUGAGGACACAUCACCUGUACAGUAUCCUAACCCACCCAAGAUGACACAGUAAGGUAAAACCACAGUAGAGCCCAGGCCUGUUUGACUCUGAAGUCCAGGCUCCUUUCCAACUUAGUGCCCUAAAGGCCUGAUUGGGGUGGGGGUAGGCAGGAAGAUUCAAGCACUGAUUGUUUGUAGCCCAGGCUGGGAGGGCAACAGCUCUAGAAAAAAAGUCAUUCACUGCUUUAACCAUCUUCCAGCUAACUGCAGUGAGGUGUACAGGGCCAUGGGGCUCUGGGAUGAAGUCUUCCACCUCUACACCUUGUAAACAAGGAUUCCAGACACACCCUCCAAAUGGGAAUGGAGACACACGUUUGGCAGAGUUGGACAGUGACGCUGCUCUCCUAUCAGCCUGGACUUUGAGGGGAGUGGAAAACAUGAGUGUGGAGGUGCAGCAGUCCUGGUAUCCCCUGAAACCAGCCUGUGGGGGAACAGUCUUCCCAGGAGAGCUGCUCAGGAUGGUCCUGGUCCAUGCAUCAGGAAGAAAAGGGAACCUGAGAGCAGAGGGAAAAUGCAGAAAGUGGGGCAGGGAGACUGCUCCCUGAAACCCCCAUGGGCUGCUGGUCCAAGCAGAAAGUGUUGUCGGAGAGGGGAGAGGCAGGGUGAAAUGGGACAGGAAACGAGGACUUCCGAUGAGGAGGAGGAGGGGGCAGUGGGCUGCGGGUCUUGGGGACUGAACAGAAUGAGGUUUGCUAGACAGAGCUUUCGUCUACCCACUCCUGAAGUCCUGCUGGACCUCAGCUGGCCCUUGUGAACUGUUGAGGGGGAUAUAAACACAAAGGCCUGCAUUCCUGUGGGUGCACAAUCCUAAGAGACCAUGGACUGCCUGUGUGUGGUGGAAACAGGAAAAGGAGGCUGAGUGUAGCCCUGCUUGGAAUUUAGUGUCCACCACAGAUGUAUCCACUACCCAGGGCCAAAGACUCGGCAGCCUCAGAAGACUCAAUGGAAGCUGAGCACAGGACUAGAAAGGGUCAGGGCCCUCCUCUGUAUGUAGGGGUGGCACAUGGCAACUAGCUGGGUGAUGGGGCACUGAGAAAUUAAAUGUUUGACAUAAAAAUGUAAUCAGGACCCGAGAGGAGGUGGGUGGUGUAAUGAACAGCAUCCUAGAAGUCCGGUACAGAUUUCACGUGUCACCUUCUAGUUCCUUAUCUGCAAAUUGAAAGGUGAGGUCAGGUGCAGUGGCUCAUGCCUAUAAUCACAGCACUUAGGGAGGCUGAGGAGGGCAUAUCAUUGAGGUCAGGUGUUUGAGACCAGCCUGGCCAACAUGGUGAAACCUCUGUCUACUAAAAAUACAAAAAUUAGUCGGGUGUGCUGCACACGCCUGUCAUCCCAGCUACUUGGGAGGCUGAGGCAGGAGAAUCCCUUGAACCUGGGAGGCAGAGGCUGCAGUGAGCUGAGAUCACACCACUGCACUCAAGCUUGGGCAUCACAGCGAGACUUCUUAAAAAAAAAAAAAAUUUAAAGGUGAGCCAGUUCAGGCUUCUAGAGGCACUGCAGUUACAGACAGUAAACUGCACAAAUCCUGGGUGUAAAGUUGUUUUUUCCUGUGUAACCACCACCCAUUUACAGCAUCCCAGAAAGUUCAAGUGUGUCCCUUCCCAGUUUACAGCCACCCGCCUCCCACCCUCACUUCUAAAUCCACCGAUUAGCAGUGUGUCUUGGAAAUUAAUAUACAAGGAAUCAUAUAGUAUAUGCUCUUUUGUGUUUGGCUUCUUUGCUCAAGAUGUCCGAGAUUCAGCCGGGUUUUUGCCUCUCUCUGUAAUAUGUUAAUUUAGGUGUAGUAUCCAUUGUCUGGAAAUACAAUUGUCUAUUCUCUACUGGUGGAUAUUUGGGUGUCUCUGGUUUGGGGCCAUUAUAAUAAAACUGUUGUGAAUCUUCUUAUACACGUUUUUUGGUGGACAUCAGCCUCAUUUCUCUGAAAUGAGUGGAAACUGCUGGGCC